GACGAACGCUGGCGGCGUGCUUAACACAUGCAAGUCGAACGGAAAGGCCCUGCUUUUGUGGGGUGCUCGAGUGGCGAACGGGUGAGUAACACGUGAGUAACCUGCCCUUGACUUUGGGAUAACGUCAGGAAACUGGGGCUAAUACCGGAUAGGAGCUCCUGCUGCAUGGUGGGGGUUGGAAAGUUUCGGCGGUUGGGGAUGGACUCGCGGCUUAUCAGCUUGUUGGUGGGGUAGUGGCUUACCAAGGCUUUGACGGGUAGCCGGCCUGAGAGGGUGACCGGCCACAUUGGGACUGAGAUACGGCCCAGACUCCUACGGGAGGCAGCAGUGGGGAAUAUUGCACAAUGGGCGGAAGCCUGAUGCAGAAACGCCGCGUGCGGGAUGACGGCCUUCGGGUUGUAAACCGCUUUCGCCUGUGACGAAGCGUGAGUGACGGUAAUGGGUAAAGAAGCACCGGCUAACUACGUG
rnacentral:rRNA from 1 species